rnacentral:rRNA from 1 species
GAGUUUGAUCUUGGCUCAGAGCGAACGCUGGCGGCAGGCCUAAUACAUGCAAGUCGAACGGCUCUUCGGAGCAGUGGCGGACGGGUGAGUAACGCGUGGGAACGUGCCCUUUGGUUCGGAACAACACAGGGAAACUUGUGCUAAUACCGAAUGUGCCCUUCGGGGAAAGAUUUAUCGCCAUUGGAGCGGCCCGCGUUGGAUUAGCUAGUUGGUGGGGUAAUGGCCCACCAAGGCUACGAUCCAUAGCUGGUCUGAGAGGAUGAUCAGCCACACUGGGACUGAGACACGGCCCAGACUCCUACGGGAGGCAGCAGUAGGGAAUCUUGCGCAAUGGGCGAAAGCCUGACGCAGCCAUGCCGCGUGAAUGAUGAAGGUCUUAGGAUUGUAAAAUUCUUUCACCGGGGAAGAUAAUGACGGUACCCGGAGAAGAAGCCCCGGCUAACUUCGUGCCAGCCGCCGCCGU